rnacentral:rRNA from 1 species
AUUGAACGCUGGCGGAAUGCUUUACACAUGCAAGUCGAGCGGCAGCGCGGGGGCAACCCUGGCGGCGAGCGGCGAACGGGUGAGUAACACAUCGGAACGUACCCAGUUGUGGGGGAUAGCCCGGCGAAAGCCGGAUUAAUACCGCAUACGACCUGAGGGUGAAAGGGGGGAUCGCAAGACCUCUCGCAGUUGGAGCGGCCGAUGGCGGAUUAGCUAGUUGGUGGGGUAAAGGCCUACCAAGGCGACGAUCCGUAGCUGGUCUGAGAGGACGACCAGCCACACUGGAACUGAGACACGGUCCAGACUCCUACGGGAGGCAG